UACGUAGGGUGCAAGCGUUGUCCGGAAUUAUUGGGCGUAAAGAGCUCGUAGGUGGCCUGUCGCGUCGGCUGUGAAAACUCGGGGCUCAACUCCGAGCUUGCAGUCGAUACGGGCAGACUAGAGUUCGGUAGGGGAGACUGGAAUUCCUGGUGUAGCGGUGAAAUGCGCAGAUAUCAGGAGGAACACCGGUGGCGAAGGCGGGUCUCUGGGCCGAAACUGACGCUGAGGAGCGAAAGCAUGGGGAGCAAACAGG
rnacentral:rRNA from 1 species